rnacentral:piRNA from 1 species
UAGCUAUAUCAAGGUUUAGUGCAUGGAA